CCACACUCCGAUGAAGAAAGAAGUGAAAAUCAUGAAGACAAUGAAGAUAGUGAAGAAUGAAAGUAUUAAUAUUAGUACUUUAUUGGAUGUUUAAUGUACUUUGAAUGUUUAAUGCACUUGGAUGUUCAAAUGUAGUAUUUUACAUGUUUAAUGUACUUUAGAUGUUUUAUUUUGAAUGUUGGAUGUUUAAGAUACUUUGGAUAUUUUUACUUUGAAUGUUAAAUAUUUGGAAUGCUAUUUGG
rnacentral:lncRNA from 1 species